GAGGAAAAGAAACCAACAGGGAUUGCCUCAGUAACGGCGAGUGAAGCGGCAACAGCUCAAAUUUGAAAUCUGGCCCUAGGCCCGAGUUGUAAUUUGCAGAGGAUGCUUUUGGUGAGGUGCCUUCCAAGUUCCCUAGAACGGGACGCCAGAGAGGGUGAGAGCCCCGUACAGUUGGACACCAAGCCUUUGUAAAGCUCCUUCGACGAGUCGAGUAGUUUGGGAAUGCUGCUCAAAAUGGGAGGUAUAUUUCUUCUAAAGCUAAAUACCGGCCAGAGACCGAUAGCGCACAAGUAGAGUGAUCGAAAGAUGAAAAGCACUUUGAAAAGAGGGUUAAACAGCACGUGAAAUUGUUAAAAGGGAAGCGCUUGUGACCAGACUUGCGUCCGGUGAAUCACCCAGCUCUCGCGGCUGGGGCACUUCGCCGGCUCAGGCCAGCAUCAGCUCGCUGUCGGGGACAAAAGCUUCAGGAACGUAGCUCUCUUCGGGGAGUGUUAUAGCCUGUUGCAUAAUACCCUUCGGCGGGCUGAGGUACGCGCUCCGCAAGGAUGCUGGCAUAAUGGUCAUCAGCGACCCGU
rnacentral:rRNA from 1 species